rnacentral:rRNA from 1 species
AACGAACGCUGGCGGCAUGCCUAACACAUGCAAGUCGAACGAUGCCUUCGGGCAUAGUGGCGCACGGGUGCGUAACGCGUGGGAAUCUGCCUUUCGGUUCGGAAUAACUCAGGGAAACUUGAGCUAAUACCGGAUAACGUCGCAAGACCAAAGAUUUAUCACCGAAAGAUGAGCCCGCGUAGGAUUAGCUAGUUGGUGAGGUAAAGGCUCACCAAGGCGACGAUCCUUAGCUGGUCUGAGAGGAUGAUCAGCCACACUGGGACUGAGGCACGGCCCAGACUCCUACGGGAGGCAGCAGUGGGGAAUAUUGGACAAUGGGCGAAAGCCUGAUCCAGCAAUGCCGCGUGAGUGAUGAAGGCCUUAGGGUUGUAAAGCUCUUUUACCCGGGAAGAUAAUGACGGUACCGGGAGAAUAAGCCCCGGCUAACUCCGUG